GAUGAACGCUGGCGGCGUGCCUAAUACAUGCAAGUCGAGCGAACAGACGAGGAGCUUGCUCCUCUGACGUUAGCGGCGGACGGGUGAGUAACACGUGGAUAACCUACCUAUAAGACUUGGAUAACUUCGGGAAACCGGAGCUAAUACCGGAUAAUAUAUUGAACCGCAUGGUUCAAUAGUGAAAGACGGUUUUGCUGUCACUUAUAGAUGGAUCCGCGCCGCAUUAGCUAGUUGGUAAGGUAACGGCUUACCAAGGCAACGAUGCGUAGCCGACCUGAGAGGGUGAUCGGCCACACUGGAACUGAGACACGGUCCAGACUCCUACGGGAGGCAGCAGUAGGGAAUAUUCCGCAAUGGGCGAAAGCUUGACGGAGCAACGCCGCGUGAGUGAUGAAGGUCUUCGGAUCGUAAAACUCUGUUAUUAGGGAAGAAAAAAUGUGUAAGUAAAUAUGCACGUCUUGACGGUACCUAAUCAGAAAGCAACGGCUAACUACGUG
rnacentral:rRNA from 1 species